AACGAACGCUGGCGGCAUGCCUAACACAUGCAAGUCGAACGAGAUCUUCGGGUCUAGUGGUGCACGGGUGCGUAACGCGUGGGAAUCCGCCCUUUGGUUCGGAAUAACAGUUGGUAACGACUGCUAAUACCGGAUGAUGACGAAAGUCCAAAGAUUUAUCGCCAGAGGAUGAGCCCGCGUAGGAUUAGCUAGUUGGUGUGGUAAAGGCGCACCAAGGCGACGAUCCUUAGCUGGUCUGAGAGGAUGAUCAGCCACACUGGGACUGAGACACGGCCCAGACUCCUACGGGAGGCAGCAGUGGGGAAUAUUGGACAAUGGGCGAAAGCCUGAUCCAGCAAUGCCGCGUGAGUGAUGAAGGCCUUAGGGUUGUAAAGCUCUUUACCCGGGAUGAUAAUGACAGUACCGGGAGAAUAAGCUCCGGCUAACUCCGUGCCAGCCGCCGCCGUAA
rnacentral:rRNA from 1 species